rnacentral:rRNA from 1 species
GACGAACGCUGGCGGCGUGCCUAAUACAUGCAAGUAGAACGCUGAAGAGAGGAGCUUGCUCUUCUUGGAUGAGUUGCGAACGGGUGAGUAACGCGUAGGUAACCUGCCUUGUAGCGGGGGAUAACUAUUGGAAACGAUAGCUAAUACCGCAUAACAAUGGAUGACACAUGUCAUUUAUUUGAAAGGGGCAAUUGCUCCACUACAAGAUGGACCUGCGUUGUAUUAGCUAGUAGGUGAGGUAAUGGCUCACCUAGGCGACGGUACAUAGCCGACCUGAGAGGGUAAUCGGCCAAACUGGGACUGAGACACGGCCCAGACACCUACGGGAGGCAGCAGUAGGGAAUCUUCGGCAAUGGGGGCAACCCUGACCGAGCAACGCCGCGUGAGUGAAGAAGGUUUUCGGAUCGUAAAGCUCUGUUGUAAGUCAAGAACGGGUGUGAGAGUGGAAAGUUCACACUGUGACGGUAGCUUACCAGAAAGGGACGGCUAACUACGUG